UACGUAGGGUGCGAGCGUUAAUCGGAAUUACUGGGCGUAAAGCGUGCGCAGGCGGUGAUGUAAGACAGAUGUGAAAUCCCCGGGCUCAACCUGGGAACUGCAUUUGUGACUGCAUCGCUGGAGUGCGGCAGAGGGGGAUGGAAUUCCGCGUGUAGCAGUGAAAUGCGUAGAUAUGCGGAGGAACACCGAUGGCGAAGGCAAUCCCCUGGGCCUGCACUGGACGCUCAUGCACGAAAGCGUGGGGAGCAAACAGG
rnacentral:rRNA from 1 species